UAGCUCAGUUGGUAGAGUGCUUGCCUCACACGCACAAGGCCCUGGGUUCAAUCCCCAG
rnacentral:tRNA from 1 species